rnacentral:rRNA from 1 species
UACGUAGGGUGCAAGCGUUGUCCGGAAUUAUUGGGCGUAAAGAGCUCGUAGGCGGUUUGUCGCGUCGGGAGUGAAAACUCAGGGCUUAACCCUGAGCCUGCUUCCGAUACGGGCAGACUAGAGGUAUGCAGGGGAGAACGGAAUUCCUGGUGUAGCGGUGAAAUGCGCAGAUAUCAGGAGGAACACCGGUGGCGAAGGCGGUUCUCUGGGCAUUACCUGACGCUGAGGAGCGAAAGUGUGGGGAGCGAACAGG